rnacentral:rRNA from 1 species
GGAGUUUUCGGCAAUGGGGGAAACCCUGACCGAGCAACGCCGCGUGAGUGAUGACGGCCCUAUGGGUUGUAAAGCUCUGUUGUAAGGGACGAAUGAUUCGCUUAGGAAAUGAAGCGAGUUUGACGGUACCUUACCAGAAAGCCACGGCUAACUACGUGCCAGCAGCCGCGGUAAUACGUAGGUCCCGAGCGUUGUCCGGAUUUAUUGGGCGUAAAGCGAGCGCAGGCGGUUUAAUAAGUCUGAAGUUAAAGGCAGUGGCUUAACCAUUGUUCGCUUUGGAAACUGUUAGACUUGAGUGCAGAAGGGGAGAGUGGAAUUCCAUGUGUAGCGGUGAAAUGCGUAGAUAUAUGGAGGAACACCGGUGGCGAAAGCGGCUCUCUGGUCUGUAACUGACGCUGAGGCUCGAAAGCGUGGGGAGCAAACA